rnacentral:rRNA from 1 species
GAUGAACGCUGGCGGCGUGCCUAAUACAUGCAAGUCGAGCGAACAGACGAGGAUUUUGCCCCUCUGACGUUAGCGGCGGACGGGUGAGUAACACGUGGAUAACCUACAUAUAAGACUGGGAUAACGACGGGAGACCUGAUAUCAUACCGGAUAAUAGAUUGAACCGGAGGGUUCAAUAGUGCAAGCGGGAUUUGCUGACACUUGGAGAGGGAUCCGCGCCGCAUUAGCUAGUUGGUAAGGUAACGGCUUACCAAGGCGACGAUGCGUAGCUGAUCUGAGAGGAUGAUCAGCCACACUGGAACUGAGACACGGUCCAGACUCCUACGGGAGGCAGCAGUGGGGAAUAUUGGGCAAUGGGCGAAAGCCUGAUCCAGCCAUGCCGCGUGAGUGAAGAAGGUCUUCGGAUCGUAAAGCACUUUAAGUUGGGAGGAAGAACAGUAAGUUUAUACCUUGCUGUUUUGACGUUACCAACAGAGUAAGCACCGGCUAACUUCGUG